rnacentral:rRNA from 1 species
GGAAGUUGUGCGCGAAAGUCUCCUUCGGGAGGCGAGUAGAGCAGCGAACGGGUGAGUAACGCGUAGGCAACCUGCCCUUCAGUUUGGAAUAGCGUCGGGAAACUGGCGGUAAUGCCGAAUACUACUGGAUGUCCGCAUGGACAACUAUUGAAAGCUGGGGAUUCUUCGGAACCUAGCGCUGAGGGAUGGGCCUGCGUAGCAUUAGCUAGUUGGUGAGGUAACGGCUCACCAAGGCCAUGAUGCUUAGCCGAGCUGAGAGGCUGAUC